GGUAGAGGGGCUGGGAAGUACUGGCACAGCAGUGCCUGGGGAGGAGGGCUCAUAAGAAAGUAAAGGGCCUGCCUGAGUUUAGACAUUUCACUCUCCUCUCCUGGUGCAGACCUCAGACCUGUACUCUGUGGGCAAAUGUUUACAUGGCUGUUCCAAGGCUGCCCAGAAGGGAAAGAAAUAUCAGAGCAGCACACUCUGCUCAGAGGGGAUGCUCUUUCAAGGUCAAGGGAAUUGGAGGCUGAUCCUGGGCUCACCACUGAGCUCUUCAAUGCAUACAGGCAGGUGUCCCCAGCAGAUGUCAAGGGAAGUGAUGGGACCGGGUUUGGAAUCCUGGCUGAUGGCAGCUCUCACUUUAAGAGGCCACAGGAGACCUUCUACCCCAAGAGGAAGCCGCAGAGCCCAGCUGCACCCUAAGUGUGGAGCACCUCGAUUCCCUCUUACUUGUCUGGUACACUCCUUGGUGUUUCUUGAGACCCAGCUGAGAUGCGACCUUUUCCAGGAAGUCUUCCUGGGUCUCCUCAGGGUAAGUGCCUCUGCUUGCCACUCUGAGGCUCCCUCAGCACUUAGUUCUUAUCUCUACCACUGGAGUCCUUAUCUUAUGUAAGGCCUUCUUCCACCACUCUCCAUCAGUGCUCAGGCUGGGCCUGUGUCUGCACAUCCCUUGCCUGCUCCCCUGGAGGUGCCUCCGGUGAGGGUCCACUGUGGCCCAUCUCCUUCCAUCAGGCGUGGGGCCUGGCUUGUGUGGUUGGGUCUCCUGCACCUGCUUGGGCCAUCUCUGGGCCCUCUCUCUGACCUUUCCCUUUCUGUGUGCUCACUGCUUACAAUUCACUUUUAUCCUCUUGCUGGAUUAAGUUCAGAGCAGAGAUAUUGGAGGAAAAACACAGCCCCCACCUUUCCCUCUUCCCAGGGCCCGUGCUGACUUGGGCCAUGCCCAUCUUCUUCCUCCAUGCCCCCCCCCCCCCCCCCCCCCCCCCCCCCCCCCCCCCCCCCCCCCCCCCCCCCCCCCGUCCCAGCACUGCCCACAUCGCUCCCUCUUCGCUCAGGGCCCACUGUCCCUGGUGCUCCUCGGGCUCCAGGGCUGUGCCCGGGUGCCCUGCCUGGCCCCUGUGCUGCCUCUCGGUGACCACAUUCCUGCAACCCCGUGACCACAACAGGGGACAUUACACAUUCCUGGCCUGGCAGCCAAUGGUGUAAAAAAGAACAGAAUGUCCCAGGGCCCCACCCAAUCUCCAGCCUCACCUGGGCCUCUCCCUGGCCUGGACAAGGUAAGGGGUGGUAGUGAGGAGUCAGGAAGGAAAAGGAUGGACCUGGAGGGAGAGUCAGAGAGGGCCUCUCUGCGCCCCGGUGCCCAGUGGAGCCAGGAGGUGUUCUCAUUUUACUGAGUAGACACCCCUUUUUCUUCUAAAG
ensembl:lncRNA